UGGGGAAUAUUGGACAAUGGGCGCAAGCCUGAUCCAGCCAUGCCGCGUGAGUGAUGAAGGCCCUAGGGUUGUAAAGCUCUUUCACCGGUGAAGAUAAUGACGGUAACCGGAGAAGAAGCCCCGGCUAACUUCGUGCCAGCAGCCGCGGUAAUACGAAGGGGGCUAGCGUUGUUCGGAUUUACUGGGCGUAAAGCGCACGUAGGCGGACUAUUAAGUCAGGGGUGAAAUCCCGGGGCUCAACCCCGGAACUGCCUUUGAUACUGGUAGUCUUGAGUUCGAGAGAGGGGAGUGGAAUUCCGAGUGUAGAGGUGAAAUUCGUAGAUAUUCGGAGGAACACCAGUGGCGAAGGCGGCUCACUGGCUAGAUACUGACGCUGAGGUGCGAAAGCGGGGGGAGCAAACAGG
rnacentral:rRNA from 1 species